AUUGAACGCUAGCGGGAUGCCUUACACAUGCAAGUCGAGCGGAGUGGCGAACGGGUGAGUAAUGUCUCGGAACGUGCCCCGUAGCGGGGGAUAACUACCCGAAAGCGUCGCUAAUACCGCAUACUAUUGGCACGGCCUAUGUCGGAUUAGCUAGUUGGUGGGGUAACGGCUUACCAAGGCGACGAUCCGUAACUGGUUUGAGAGGACGACCAGGCACACUGGGACUGAGACACGGCCCAGACUCCUACGGGAGGCAGCAGUGGGGAAUUUUGGACAAUGGGGGAAACCCUGAUCCAGCCAUCCCGCGUGUGCGAUGAAGGUCUUCGGGUUGUAAAGCACUUUUGGAAGGAAAGCGGUACCUGCAGAAUAAGCACCGGCUAACUACGUGCCAGCAGCCGCGGUAAUUC
rnacentral:rRNA from 1 species